UACAGAGGGCUCAAGCGUUGUUCGGAUUCAUUGGGCGUAAAGGGUGCGUAGGCGGCGCGGUAAGUCGGGUGUGAAAUCUUGGAGCUUAACUCCGAAACUGCAUUCGAUACUGCCGUGCUUGAGGACUGGAGAGGAGACUGGAAUUCCUGGUGUAGCGGUGAAAUGCGCAGAUAUCAGGAGGAACACCGGUGGCGAAGGCGGGUCUCUGGGCCGAUAUUGACGCUGAGGAGCGAAAGCGUGGGGAGCGAACAGG
rnacentral:rRNA from 1 species